rnacentral:rRNA from 1 species
CGGCRAGUGMMGCGGCRAUAGCUCAAAUUUGAAAGCUGGCCCCUUCGGGGUCCGCGUUGUAAUUUGUAGAGGAUGAUUCGGCGAGGGCUCCCGUCUAAGUCCCUUGGAACAGGGCGUCAUAGAGGGUGAGAAUCCCGUAUGUGAUGGGCUGCCUUAGCCAUGUGAAUCUCCUUCGACGAGUCGAGUUGUUUGGGAAUGCAGCUCUAAAUGGGAGGUAAAUUUCUUCUAAAGCUAAAUACCGGCCAGAGACCGAUAGCGCACAAGUAGAGUGAUCGAAAGAUGAAAAGCACUUUGGAAAGAGAGUUAAAAAGUACGUGAAAUUGUUGAAAGGGAAGCGCUUGCAGCCAGACUUGUCCGCAGUUGCUCAGCCUGUCUCCUGACAGGCGUACUCUUCUGCGGCCAGGCCAGCAUCAGUUCGGGCGGUCGGAUAAAGACCCGGGGAAUGUAGCUCCUCUCGGGGAGUGUUAUAGCCCUGGGUGCAAUGCGGCCAGCCUGGACUGAGGAUCUCGCUUCGGCUAGGAUGCUGGCGUAAUGGCUGUAAGCGGCCCGUCUUGAAACACGGACCAAGGAGUCUAACAUCUAUGCGAGUGUUUGGGUGUCAAACCCAUGCGCGUAAUGAAAGUGAACGGAGGUGGGAACCCUCACGGGUGCACCAUCGACCGAUCCUGAUGUCUUCGGAUGGAUUUGAGUAAGAGCAUAGCUGUUGGGACCCGAAAGAUGGUGAACUAUGCCUGAAUAGGGUGAAGCCAGAGGAAACUCUGGUGGAGGCUCGCAGCGGUUCUGACGUGCAAAUCGAUCGUCAAAUUUGGGUAUAGGGGCGAAAGACUAAUCGAACCAUCUAGUAGCUGGUUCCUGCCGAAGU